rnacentral:rRNA from 1 species
UACAGAGGGUGCAAGCGUUGUUCGGAAUUAUUGGGCGUAAAGGGAGUGUAGGCGGUUUUCUAAGUCUUCUGUGAAAUCUACGGGCUUAGCCUGUAACGUGCAGAGGAAACUGGAAGGCUUGAGUGUCGGAGAGGAUAGGGGAAUACCCAGUGUAGAGGUGAAAUUCGUAGAGAUUGGGUGGAACACCAGUGGCGAAGGCGGCUAUCUGGACGACAACUGACGCUGAGGCGCGAAAGUGUGGGGAUCAAACCGG